GUGUGCUAGGGUUUUUUCUUCUUGAUGGGCAGGUGUGCUAGGGUUUUUUGUUCUUGAUGGGCAGGUUGCUAGUUUUUUGUUGUUGUUGUUGUUGUUGCUGUGACCUAACACAUGACAAGAAGCAGUUUACGAUAGGAUGGAUUUAUUUGGGGUCAUGGUUUGAAGGUGUUGACUAUCAUGUUCGGGGCACAGCAGAACUGUUCAUGGAUUAGCAGCAGAACUGGGGAGCUGUUUGUUCACAUCUCAGUGAACCAGGAAGCAGAGAUCUAGAAAUGAUGGCUGUCUUCCAGCUUCUCCUUUUUCCUGUUUGUUUGGCCUUGGUCCCCAGUUGGUGGGAUGGUGCCAUGAUCAAGGUGGGUCUUCCCACCUCAGUCUCUCUGGAAACACCCACAGAUGAAUCCAGAAGUGGGUCUUCCAGAAAAUUCUAAAUAUAGUCUCACUAACAGUGAAGAUUGACUAUCACUCCAUGUAACCAGAGUCUGGGCACAAUCCCAUACACAACAACCUUGGUCCAAUACAGAGAGAGAAGCCACAGAAAAAUUUAAAUUAAUAUGAAGAAGCGUUAGCCUCAAUGAGGCUUCCAGUCAUGAGAACUGACUAGUAAGAAGGAAAACCAGAAGAAAACAGAACUGGCAGGUGCCACGACUCAAACAGUGGUGGAGGGGUGUCCUUAGAACUCUGGGGCUACAAGAGGGCACUGUUGGGACAGUCACAUUUGAACUGAGUUCUGAAGGAAUGGCUGAGAAGUGGACCUGUGCAGAUCAAGGGCCCUGAGGCUCUCUACUGU
rnacentral:lncRNA from 1 species